rnacentral:rRNA from 1 species
CGGAGGAUGCAAGCGUUAUCCGGAUUCAUUGGGUUUAAAGGGUGCGUAGGCGGGCUAUUAAGUCAGUGGUGAAAUCCUGCAGCUUAACUGCAGAACUGCCGUUGAUACUGAUAGUCUUGAGUUUGGUUAAGGUAGGCGGAAUGUGUAAUGUAGCGGUGAAAUGCUUAGAUAUUACACAGAACACCAAUUGCGUAGGCAGCUUACUAAGCCGACACUGACGCUGAGGCACGAAAGCGUGGGGAUCAAACAGGAUUA